AUGCCAUGAUGAGGACACUUUUGUAAUAACCCCUUGAACCGCUUCACUGUCUCAUACAAAGAUUUUUCAUCAAGUUGCUGAAAUGAAGUGAUUUCAUUUUGAAGCUU
rfam:Gossypium arboreum cultivar AKA8401 contig_29718_1, whole genome shotgun sequence.